UACGUAGGGCGCAAGCGUUGUCCGGAAUUAUUGGGCGUAAAGAGCUCGUAGGUGGCUUGUCACGUCGGGUGUGAAAGCUUGGGGCUUAACUCCAGGUCUGCAUUCGAUACGGGCUGGCUAGAGGUAGGUAGGGGAGAACGGAAUUCCUGGUGUAGCGGUGAAAUGCGCAGAUAUCAGGAGGAACACCGGUGGCGAAGGCGGUUCUCUGGGCCUUACCUGACGCUUAGGAGCGAAAGCGUGGGGAGCGAACAGG
rnacentral:rRNA from 1 species